GGGAGAUUAGUCUAGUGGUAUGAUUCUCGUUUCGGGGACGAGAGGCCUCGGGUUCGAAUCCCGAAUCUCUCA